AUGAAUACCGGCAGCGGUAGCUCCUCGACCUGGAUGCAGAAGCAGAAGGAGCCUAUAUUUGUAGAAAGCAAGCCGAUGCUGCCUUCUCCGGGGCCGGGUUGGGGAGGAUCAGGUGCUGGAAGCAGCAGCCAUGGCCGGCCUAGGAACAAGGAUGAUGCUGACGCUCCCCUUGUGGCGGGUUUUGCGGAUGGCUUAUUCACUCAGGAUGAGAUUACCACGAUUAUGGGGGAGAAGACUCUAUCAGAGAUUGUGCUGACAAAUCCCAAAGGCGUCCGAAGGAUCAUUCGAAACCGAAGUAUUGCACAAAGGGGUAAGCAGCGCAAUAAGGCGUACCUCUCAGACCUUGAAAGGAAGGCUAAGCUACCGCGGCAAGAGACCGACUCACUAUCUGCACAAGUGAAGUCGGCCAAGUGUACAGCUGAAGGGCUUACAACUGAAAACAAUAUGAUAAAGCUCAAGCUGCAGGGAUUGGAGCAACAAUACAAGCUGAUGAAUGAUAUGAAUGAAACACUAGUUGCUGAAGUCCAGCGCCUCACACUGCUCCAGCAAUCUCAACAAUCACACGGGGAGCCAUGA
rnacentral:rRNA from 1 species